GACGAACGCUGGCGGCAUGCCUAACACAUGCAAGUCGAGCGAGUAGAUCCCUUCGGGGUGAAGCUAGCGGCGGACGGGUGAGUAACACGUGGGCAACCUGCCUCAUAGAGGGGAAUAGCCUUCCGAAAGGAAGAUUAAUACCGCAUAAGAUUGUAGUACCGCAUGGUAUAGCAAUUAAAGGAGCAAUCCGCUAUGAGAUGGGCCCGCGGCGCAUUAGCUAGUUGGUGAGGUAACGGCUCACCAAGGCGACGAUGCGUAGCCGACCUGAGAGGGUGAUCGGCCACAUUGGGACUGAGACACGGCCCAGACUCCUACGGGAGGCAGCAGUGGGGAAUAUUGCACAAUGGGGGAAACCCUGAUGCAGCAAUGCCGCGUGAGUGAUGACGGCCUUCGGGUUGUAAAGCUCUGUCUUCGGGGACGAUAAUGACGGUACCCGAGGAGGAAGCCACGGCUAACUACGUGCCAGCAGCCGCAGUAA
rnacentral:rRNA from 1 species